GAUGAACGCUGGCGGCGUGCCUAAUACAUGCAAGCCGAGCGAACGGACGAGAAGCUUGCUUCUCUGAUGUUAGCGGCGGACGGGUGAGUAACACGUGGAUAACCUACCUAUAAGACUGGGAUAACUUCGGGAAACCGGAGCUAAUACCGGAUGAUAUUUUGAACCGCAUGGUUCAAAACUGAAAGACGGUCUUGCUGUCACUUAUAGAUGGAUCCGCGCUGCAUUAGCUAGUUGGUAAGGUAACGGCUUACCAAGGCAACGAUGCAUAGCCGACCUGAGAGGGUGAUCGGCCACACUGGAACUGAGACACGGUCCAGACUCCUACGGGAGGCAGCAGUAGGGAAUCUUCCGCAAUGGGCGAAAGCCUGACGGAGCAACGCCGCGUGAGUGAUGAAGGUCUUCGGAUCGUAAAACUCUGUUAUUAGGGAAGAACAUAUGUGUAAGUAACUGUGCACAUCUUGACGGUACCUAAUCAGAAAGCCACGGCUAACUACGUG
rnacentral:rRNA from 1 species